AGAAAAGAGGGAGUUGGGUGUUUUUCCCAUAAUGCACGCGAAGCAAGGUAAUGAUCGUUAAGGAUAAUAACGUAGACGGAGUGAGCCAGCCAGGACCUGCGCCUCUAAUCGUGCCAUUAAUACGGUGAGUCUAGACCGAAAUGGCGGCAGAUGCCCGGUGUGAGCUCAACGACUACUUCGCCCCGCUAGUGUCAAUCACGUGCCAGUGGGCUGACCCACGAUGGACCCGCACCAUCCGGCCACUCCUCUGCGGCCUUGGUGUAGAGCGCGGACUCGCCAAGCGCCGUCACACGUCGAAGCUGCUGUCCCGACUCAGACACGCGCGCAGUCAAGAGUGGGCGACCGACCAAAGCCAGACAGGAGUGCGAGCCGGUCGCAGUCAUACCCGUCCGUGUGUUGCAGUGUGUGUGUGUGUGUGUGGACCGGGGAUUAGAACAUAAAAAACAUAAUAACAAACACAAAAAAAGAAACAUUAAAAACACGUAGCAUGAGGACACACCGAGGGCUAGACAGUUUACCUGUCGGUGUGGCAACGGAGUGGUAGUCUCGCCGGUCGGAACCUUCGCCCCAACUGCACCCUAGACUGGACUGUGGAUAUUUUGACUGUCGCCGGGGCGAUCGUCGCCGGUUGGUAGUGCCGCUGGCCCGGCCCACCGCAAGCUAUCGCUGCUGUCGGCCGUGUUCCGUGGUCGUAAGCACGUUGGAGAAGCAAAGAGGCACAAACUGACUCCGAUGUGACAUUGUCCAACGCAGGUGCUCACCCAUUCUGAAUACCCAGCAUGCAUUAGCGGUCGCCAUCUUUGUUGGUCUUUGUGUCCACGCAGACGUGUGUGAGGACGGUGUCCCACAGUCGAUGAGAUGUCACGGCGAAAACAAGAGAAACCGCUGCCCAGGAAGAGAGUUUUAGCAGAAAAGAAAAUAUCCGAAAACAGUUUUUCUUGCUUCCAACGAUCCAUAAGAAGACAUUUCAAAUAUUUCUAGCUUUAUAGUUAACUUAGUAAUAACAAUCAUACAAACUUAAAUAAAUAAAUAAAAGAUUUAUUGGGUGUAAUAAAUUAAAAUGACGUCUUUAAACAUGAUUAUUUUUUAAUUGUAAUUAAGAAAAAGUGCU
rnacentral:lncRNA from 1 species